rnacentral:miRNA from 1 species
CACUCGGGGAAAAGAGGCC